GACGAACGCUGGCGGCGUGCUUAACACAUGCAAGUCGAACGGCAAGGCCCUGAUAUCGUGGUGUGCCCGAGUGGCGAAGGGGUGCGUAACACGAGUGUAACCUGCCCUUCAUUUUGGGAUAACUUAAGGAAACUGGGGCUAAUAUCGGAUCGCAGACCACCUUGCAUGGAGGGGGUUGGAAAGUUUCGGCGGGUGGGGAUGGACGAGCGGCUUAUCAGUUUGUUGGUGGGGUAGUGGCUUACCCAGGAAUUGGACGGUCGCCGGCCUGAGAGGGUGACCGGCCACAUGGGGACUGAGAUACGGCCCAGACUCCUACGGGAGACAGCAGUGGGGAAUAUGGCACAAUGGGCGGAAGCCUGAGGCAGCAACGCCGCGUGCGGGAUGACGGCCUUCGGGGUGUAAACCGCUUUCGCCUGUGACGAAGCGUGAGUGACGGUAAUGGGUAAAGAAGCACCGGCUAACUACGUG
rnacentral:rRNA from 1 species